rnacentral:rRNA from 1 species
GCAGAAUUCAGUGAAUCAUCGAAUCUUUGAACGCACCUUGCGCUCCCUGGUAUUCCGGGGAGCAUGUCCGUUUGAGUGUCAUGGUA